AGUCGAACGAAGCGUUCUGGUUCGGUUUAUCUGAACCGGGAUGACUUAGUGGCGGACGGGUGAGUAACAUGUGGGUAACCUACCCGGGAGACCGGGAUAACAGCUCGAAAGGGCUGCUAAUACCGGAUAAGGUAUAGGGGAUUAGGUUCCACUAUACCAAAGGCGUUAAGUAGUGCUCCUGGAUGGGCCCGCGGCUCAUUAGCUAGUUGGUAAGGUAAGGGCUUACCAAGGCGAUGAUGGGUAGCCGGUCUGAGAGGAUGGUCGGCCACACUGGGACUGAGAACGGCCCAGACUCCUACGGGAGGCAGCAGUGGGGAAUAUUGCGCAAUGGGGCAACCCUGACGCAGCGACGCCGUGUGAGUGAAGAAGGCCCUCGGGUUGUAAAGCUCUGUCAGGGGGGAAGAAGGAGACGGUACCCCCUGAGGAAGCCCCGGCUAACUACGUGCCAGCAGCCGCGGUAAGACGUGGGGGGCGAGCGUUGUCCGGAAUUACUGGGCGUAAAGGGCGUGUAGGCGGCCUAUCAAGUCAGUGGUGAAAGCCCUUGGCUCAACCGAGGAAUUGCCAUUGAAACUGGUAGGCUUGAGUGCAGGAGAGGAGAGCGGAAUUCCCGGUGUAGCGGUGAAAUGCGUAGAUAUCGGGAAGAACACCAGUGGCGAAGGCGGCUCUCUGGCCUGUUACUGACGCUGAGGCGCGAAAGCUAGGGGAGCGAACAGGAUUAGAUACCCUGGUAGUCCUAGCCGUAAACGCUGGGUACUAGGUGUAGGCAGCGUAGAGCUGUCUGUGCCGCA
rnacentral:rRNA from 1 species